AGAUACUGUUCUUUGCAUGCGGCUUCAGUUAGUAUUUACAUUUGUCUGAAUCUUUUUUAAGUAUGAUGACUGAUCCUGCCAGUCUUUUCAGGAUCAAGGAUUUUGGACGGCCAAAGGUUCCGGUUCCGUAAACAAUGGCGAUGCUAACGAGGAUUCAUCUAAAAGCAAUUCUAAGCGUUCUAAUCCGUGGUUUAUGGAUAGCUCUGAAGCAGAGCUGUUUCCUAACAAGAAACAGGC
rnacentral:lncRNA from 1 species